rnacentral:rRNA from 1 species
GAUGAACGCUGGCGGCGUGCCUAAUACAUGCAAGUCGAGCGAACGGACGAGAAGCUUGCUUCUCUGAUGUUAGCGGCGGACGGGUGAGUAACACGUGGAUAACCUACCUAUAAGACUGGGAUAACUUCGGGAAACCGGAGCUAAUACCGGAUAAUAUUUUGAACCGCAUGGUUCAAAAGUGAAAGACGGUCUUGCUGUCACUUAUAGAUGGAUCCGCGCUGCAUUAGCUAGUUGGUAAGGUAACGGCUUACCAAGGCAACGAUGCAUAGCCGACCUGAGAGGGUGAUCGGCCACACUGGAACUGAGACACGGUCCAGACUCCUACGGGAGGCAGCAGUAGGGAAUCUGCCGCAAAGGGCGAAAGCCUGACGGAGCAACGCCGCGUGAGUGAUGAAGGUCUUCGGAUCGUAAAACUCUGUUAUUAGGGAAGAACAUAUGUGUAAGUAACUGUGCACAUCUUGACGGUACCUAAUCAGAAAGCCACGGCUAACUACGUG